CAAUAGCGUAUAUUUAAGUUGUUGCAGUUAAAAAGCUCGUAGUUGGAUUUCGGUUAAGAGCGACCGGUCCGCCGUUUGGUGUGCACUGGUUGGUUUUAACUUCCUGUAGAGGACGUGCUCUGGGUUUAACGACCUGGACUCGGAGUCUACGUGGUUACUUUGAAAAAAUUAGAGUGUUCAAAGCGGGCUUACGCUUGAAUAUUUCAGCAUGGAAUAACACUAUAGGACUCCUGUCCUAUUUCGUUGGUCUCGGGACGGGAGUAAUGAUUAAGAGGAACAGUUGGGGGCAUUCGUAUUUCAUUGUCAGAGGUGAAAUUCAUGGAUUUAUGAAAGACGAACUUCUGCGAAANCANNNGCCAAGGAUGUUUUCAUNAA
rnacentral:rRNA from 1 species